GUCUGAGUCCAUGGCCAGUGAAAAGAACAAGUGGCUCCUGUUUUCAACUUUAGGGGCUGAAUUCUGAAUGGCGCCACUUGCGUUGCCCUGCCUUGGGCUCUGGAAUAGGGGAAAUUAUAGGAAGGGAAGGGAAGAAAGCAAUCGUACCUGAAGAAGAGAGACAUUGGCAAGGCUGAGUCUGAAGAGGUAGUUCCUGUGAAAAUGGAAACAGACAUCCUAAGUGACGCUGGUUCUGCAGGCAGGACCCAGGGAGCAGCCUCCUGGCUUGGGCCUCCUGGGACGCCAGGACUGGGUGCUGAUUGCCUAGGGUCAACCCCUAAGGAGAGCUUUACCUCCAUUUGCUCACUUAAUCUUCACACAACCCUGGGAGGAAAUCCAGGAAGCUCCAAGUUACAGAUGAAGAAGCAAGGGGCCUGCAGCUGGCUGAGAUUGCGAGGUCAAGAGUCACCCCCACCCCCACCCAGCCGAAACACGCUUCCUCCUGUGGGGGGACAGACAUCCACAAGGAGAGGGCCCAGCAGAGAGGAUGGGGCCCAGCACGCGGGGCUGCCCAGGUAUUUUUCAGACCCUGCAUUCUGUUGGAUCUGCUGAUGCCACCCAGACUGAUAAACUGGUUCAUCUGACCUUGUGGCCCCCCGACCCAGGAACUGAACUCAGCACAAGAAGACAGGCUUCAACUCCCUGUGAUUUCAUCCACGACCUAACCAAUCAGUACUCUCCACUCCCUAGCCCCACUGCUCCCCAAAUUAUCCUUUAAAUUUUGGGGGAGGCUGCUUUGAAUAAUGAUAAACUCCUGUCCUUCUGCUUAGCUGGCUUUGCAUCUAUUAAGUUCUUUCUCUAUUGCAAAAACCCGCUGUUCUCAAUACAUUGGCUUUUCUGGACAGUGAGCAAGAUGAAUUCAUCGGGUGAUUAUAGAACUUCUAGGAAUCAAGAAGGAAAAGACUAACAAUCCAGUAGAAAAAUAGGCAAAGAAUAUACAUACAAACAAGGGCUUAAAAUAUGAAUGACACUUAUCCUCACUCAUAACAAGAGCAACACAAGUUAAAACAUAGACUGAGAUACCACUUCUCAUCUAUGGGUUUAGCAAAAAUCCAAGUUACUUGCUGCAGUCUUCCGGUGAAGCAGUGGGGAGAGGGCCACUACCAUAUACUACUGUAGGGGUUGGGGUGUGCAAGAUGGCACAAUCCCUGUGGGGUGAUCCUGGCAAUAUCUGGCAAAACCACCCAUGUAUUUACCCGUUGACCUAGCAACCUAAUUCUUUGAGUCUACACUCUUUCUCCUUGAAGUGUGUUCCACAAACCAGUGUCAAUUCACACACUGGAACAACUCCACAGUCACAGAAAUGCAGAGAUUUGAGAGUCAGUGUUUAAAAAUCUUUACAAUAAUUUGACAGAGUAAUUUUAUGUGUAUUGAAUCUAAUAACAAAAUAUUCAGGUUUGUAUGUUGCAUGUUUUAUUUCAAUUCAUUUCUCUAGUAAUUUACUUUUAUUGAAUUUUACGUAAGUAUCCAUCUGUGACAGAUUGUAAAUUGAAAAAUCAAACCUGCCUCUUCACAGAUAGUUGAGAGGCAAAAACAGACCACAGAGGCACCUGCACAUGUGCAAAGUGACUUACGAAUGAGAUUGUUCAUUGUGCCAUCCUUUGAAAGAACAGAAAGGCAGAAAACAACCAAAUAUUCAGAAACAGGAGAUUGCCCAAAUAACCUAGGGUGUAUCUUCACAAUGGAAUAUUAUGCAGCUGUUAAAAAGUGUGAAGAUUUUCUCUAUUUAUUUUAUUUUAUUUUUAGAGAGACAGGGUCUUGCUCUGUCUCCCAGGUUGGAAUGCAGUGGCACGAUCAUGGCUCACUGCAGUCUUGACCUCCUGGACUCAAGCGAUCCUUCCAGCUCAGCCUCUCUAGUGGUUGGGACCACAGGCAUGCACCAUCAUGCCUGGCUAGAGGGGCAUGCUCUGUUGUAAGUGGAGGGGUCUUGUUCUGCUGCCCAGGCUUUCUGUAGGUUUUGAUAUGGAAAAAUAUCCGUAUCAAAAAAGUGAAAAAAGCAAGAUGCAGAACAGCUUAUUAGCAUGGUAACUUUUGUGAAAAUAAGACAGUAAAAAUAAGAACACAUGUAUUUAUAUUUGCUUAUAUUAGCAUUGAUAUACACUAGAAAAAUAAAACAAAACUAAUCUUUGUAGGUUAUCUAUAAGUAGCAAAAUGGGAAUCAAGGCUUCUCAGUAAAUACCUUUUUAUAUUAUUUUCAUUUGUGACCAGGUAAACAUAUUGGCUACUCAAUAAAGUUUUAAGAUUUAAGAAACUUUUAAACAACUAGUUUGGGUUCACUAAAACUCCUGGAAAAGCCCUAACAUUUGUCUAACUUGUCGCCUUCCACCUCCUCUCUCCUUCGCUAGUCUGUCUAACAUGUCACCAAGCCCCGCUGACCCUACGUCUCGCAAAGGUCUCUAACCCAGAGUGACCUCCUUGGUGUCAUUUUCUUCAGCAAUGAAAUGAAAGGUUGAACUAGAUUAGGGAUCCCUGACAGGAGCUGGGGUGAAUCAGAAUCAUCCCCCUGAGGGGGCAGAGUCCUGGG
rnacentral:lncRNA from 1 species